UCUCUAGUCCGGUUCUGUCACUUACUCUGGACACUCUGCAGUUCCUUUAUCUUGCUGCAACAAGUUCCACAGAUUCCGGAAGGACUGGCAAUUUGUGCACCACUCUCGUCGAGCUCGAUCUUUCCUUGAACUCCCUCUCCGAGCUGGCUUUUUUCGGCGUAUUAGUACUGACAUUUAAUGGAUUCCGAAGUUGAAACUAUUGAGAGAAGAUUUACAUCUUUGUUUGGUCAACUCCAAGCAGAGUACGGCGUACUUGAAAGAAUGGUGUACAAGAACAAGAACCAGCAUAGGCGUUGUUCUUAUUUCAAGUAUCUUUUGAAGGUAGAGAGGGAUUUGCGGCUUCUACGAUCUGUGAACUUGGAGGACCUUGUCAUAUCGUGCCUCCUUGUUAUCAAGGA